GCAUAUCAAUAAGCGGAGGAAAAGAAAAUAACAAUGAUUCCUCUAGUAACUGCGAGUGAAGAGGGAAAAGCUCAAAUUUUAAAUCUGUUAGGUUUGCCUAACCGAGUUGUAAUUUGAAGAAGCGUUUUCUGCGAAUUUGGUUAGUCCAAAUCCUUUGGAAUAAGGUAUCAUGGAGGGUGAGAAUCCCGUUUGGUUAACCAAAGCGCUUUACGAUACGCUUUCAAAGAGUCAAGUUGUUUGGGAUUGCAGCUUAAAAUGGGAGGUAAAUUUCUCCUAAGGCUAAAUGUUGGCGAGAGACCGAUAGCGAACAAGUACCGUGAGGGAAAGAUGAAAAGAACUUUGAAAAGAGAGUUAAACAGUACGUGAAAUUGUUGAAAGGGAAACGAUUAAAGCCAGUCGUACCUACGAGUGGUCAACCUACUCGAGUGCGAUUUUGUGGGUAUGUUUGAGCUUAAAAACCUUCAUGCUUACAAAUUGGUGCUCUUUGGGCGUACUUUCUCGUAUGGUAGGUUAACAUCAAUUUCGAUCGUUAUAAAAUGACUGGAGGAAUGUAGCUUCGACUUCGGUUGAAGUGUUAUAGCCUUUGGUAGAUGUAAUGAUUGGGAUUGAGGAUUGCAACGGAUACCCUCUGGGCUAUUCGUCUGAUCUCUGGAAGUUACCUUGGUGUCGAAAGCGUGCUUACGAUAUUAAGGUUGACGGCCAAUAGGUUAGAACGUGAUUAAAUUCGUUAAGGAUGUUGACGUAAUGGCUUUAAACGAC
rnacentral:rRNA from 1 species